AUGGAAGCAGCCGACUGGACCGGGAUCGGACGUCCUACCUGGGGGCGCCAGAGGGCAGAGACACCGCUAUACUCAUGUCUGCCACCAGAGGGCAGCCUCCGCACAUUGAUCUCCGCUCCCCCACCCUCGCCCACCUCCCCUGCGUGCCUCCCAAACUGGGCUGGAGAGAAACCCGGUUCAAUGCUGAGCAAGAGAGAAGCCUGGUCCAGUGCAUGAAAGCUAUCUUCUACUCGCCCAUCCUGAAGAGAGAGACAGAGCAUGAGAGGGGUAGGGACAGAGAGAAG